CAGAUAUAAUUUAAUGAGAAUUUUUAUUUUAGGAAUAAAAAGUAUUACUUUAAUGUAAUUGUUUGU
rnacentral:tRNA from 1 species